UACAGAGGGUGCGAGCGUUAAUCGGAAUUACUGGGCGUAAAGCGCACGUAGGCGGCUUGGUAUGUCGGGUGUGAAAUCCCCGGGCUCAACCUGGGAACUGCAUCCGAAACUGCCUUGCUCGAGUAUGGGAGAGGGAAGUGGAAUUUCCGGUGUAGUGGUGAAAUGCGUAGAUAUCGGGAGGAAUACCAGUGGCGAAGGCGGCUGCCUGGCCUGUUCUUGACGCUGAGGCGCGAAAGCUGGGGGAGCAAACGGG
rnacentral:rRNA from 1 species